AAUCAACGCUGGCGGCGUGCCUCAGACAUGCAAGUCGAACGAUUAAAGCUCUCUUCGGAGAGUGUAUAGAGUGGCGCACGGGUGAGUAACACGUAAGUAAUCUACCUUCGAGUGGGGAAUAACGUCCGGAAACGGACGCUAAUACCGCAUAAUGCAGCGGCAUCGCAAGAUGACAGUUGUUAAAGAUUUAUCGCUUGAAGAGGAGCUUGCGGCAGAUUAGCUUGUUGGUAAGGUAACGGCUUACCAAGGCUACGACCUGUAUCGGUCUAAGAGGACGGUCGGACACACUGACACUGAAUAACGGGUCAGACUCCUACGGGAGGCAGCAGUCGGGAAUUUUGGGCAA
rnacentral:rRNA from 1 species